AUACGUAGGGGGCGAGCGUUGUCCGGAAUUACUGGGCGUAAAGGGUGCGUAGGUGGCCUUUUAAGUUGGAUGUGAAAUACCCGGGCUUAACCUGGGGGGUGCAUCUAAUACUGGGAGGCUAGAGUGCAGGAGAGGAAAGCGGAAUUCCUAGUGUAGCGGUGAAAUGCGUAGAUAUUAGGAGGAACACCAGUGGCGAAGGCGGCCUACUGGGCUCUAACUGACGCUGAGGCUCGAAAGUGUGGGGAGC
rnacentral:rRNA from 1 species